UUUAAAAAGAAAAAAAAAGGGUUAAUCUUUAAAAGAGAAAAGAUGGUAAAAGUGGACCCCAAAAGGAGAUAACGGGGUGGGACCCACAGCACUUGAAAGAGCCAGCCUGCAAACCAAAAUGGUGAGCCUAAUGAUCGUGGGGCUCGACCACGCCGGACCAUUAGCCGCCACGUCCCUGAGCCCCGACAUGUUGUUCUCGUUUUGUGGGUUCCACUCUACUAUUUAUAGAAGAAGAGUAUAUUGUAAAACGGGGUGGAUACUUUUAUAUUAUAAGUUGGAUUUUAUUUUAUUUUUUUAUUAAAAUAUAAAUUAAUUUGUAUAUGUUAUAUUAAAGAGUAG
rnacentral:lncRNA from 1 species